GAGGGGAGUGGAAUUCCCGGAGUAACGGUAAAAUGCGCAGAUAUCGGGAGGAACACCGAUGGCGAAGGCAGCUCCCUGGGAUGCACCUGACGCUAAGAGGCGAAAGCUAGGGGAGCGAACAGGAUUAGAGACCCUGGUAGUCCUAGCUGUAAACGCUGGGUGCUAGGUGUGGGACGUAGAAGUUCCGUGCCGGAGCAGACGCGAUAAGCACCCCGCCUGGGAAUUACGGUCGCAAGGCUAAAACUCAAACGAAUUGACGGGGCCCCGCACAAGCANCGGAGCGUGUGGUUCAAUUCGAUGCUACACGAAGAACCUUACCUGGGUUUGACAUGUACGUGGUACGAAGGCGAAAGCCUAAGGACCCUUCGGGGAGCGUACACAGGUGCUGCAUGGCUGUCGUCAGCUCGUGCCGUGAGGUGUCGGGUUAAGUCCCGUAACGAGCGCAACCCUUGCCCUUAGUUACAAGUGUCUAAGGGGACUGCCGGCGGGAAGCCGGAGGAAGGUGGGGAUGACGUCAAGUCAGCAUGGCCCUUAUGUCCAGGGCUACACACACGCUACAAUGGUCAGUACAAAGGGUAGCGAAGUCGCGAGGCGGAGCGAAUCCCAACAAAGCUGAUCGUAGUUCGGAUUGCAGGCUGCAACCCGCCUGCAUGAAGCUGGAGUUGCUAGUAACCGCGCGUCAGCCAUAGUGCGGUGAAUACGUACCCGGGGCUUGUACA
rnacentral:rRNA from 1 species